AACGAACGCUGGCGGCAUGCCUAACACAUGCAAGUCGAACGAGACCUUCGGGUCUAGUGGCGCACGGGUGCGUAACGCGUGGGAACCUGCCCUUAGGUUCGGAAUAACUCCCCGAAAGGGGUGCUAAUACCGGAUAAUGUCUUCGGACCAAAGAUUUAUCGCCUUUGGAUGGGCCCGCGUUGGAUUAGCUAGUUGGUAGGGUAAAAGCCUACCAAGGCGACGAUCCAUAGCUGGUCUGAGAGGAUGAUCAGCCACACUGGGACUGAGACACGGCCCAGACUCCUACGGGAGGGAGCAGUGGGGAAUAUUGGACAAUGGGCGAAAGCCUGAUCCAGCAAUGCCGCGUGAGUAAUGAAGGCCUUAGGGUUGUAAAGCUCUUUUACCCGGGAUGAUAAUGACAGUACCGGGAGAAUAAGCGCCGGCUAACUCCGUG
rnacentral:rRNA from 1 species